CUCGAAACAAAUUUAGCUAACUUUAAAUACAAGUUUUUGUUGAAAAUAAAUUUGUAAGUUAAUGUUAAAGGUGAAAUGUUAAUCGAAGUUUGUUAUAUCUAGUUCUUUUAGAAUAAAUUUAAUUUUGUUUUUAUAUUAAAAAAUAUAAAAAGUAAAUGUAGGAGGGAUUAGCUUCUUAUAGAUUAAAAUAACAAAUAGUUAUUUGUGUGUGUGUUGAAUUAGGCUUAAGAGUGGCUAUUUUAAUAAAGUGUUUUAACUAAAUUAAUAUUACCAGUUAAAAAUUUUUUUAUAAGCUUUUGUACAUAUAAAAGAAUAAUUUAUAAUUUGUAAAAUUUAGAUAUAAUUAUUUUAUUAGUAUAUUGUAGUGUUAAGGUGGUAAUAUGUGUAAUAAAGAUUACUGUUUAGCAGUGAAGAAAUAAUAUAAAGGAAUUCGGCAAAUAAAUUUUUUGCCUGUUUAUCAAAAACAUGUCUGUUUGGAGGUAUAAAAAGUCUGGCCUGCCCACUGAUAACUUUUUUAAAGGGCCGCGGUAAUUUGACCGUGCAAAGGUAGCAUAAUCGUUAGUUUUUUAAUUGGAAUCUUGUAUGAAUGGUUGAACAAAAGAAUGACUGUCUCUAUAUUUUUUUUGAAUUUAACUUUUAAGUGAAAAGGCUUGAAUGUUUUAAAAAGACGAUAAGACCCUGUAAAGCUUGAUGAGUUUUAUUAUUUAAUUAAAUUAGUAGUUGUAUAAAAAUUUAAUAAGAGCAAUUUAUUUUAUUGGGGCGAUAAUGAUAAAAUGUGUUUAACUGUUAAUAAAUAAAAGACAAAAUUUAGUGUGUAGGCGCAAUAAAUGAUCCUUAAAUUAAGAUUAAGAGUUUAAGUUACUUCAGGGAUAACAGCGUUAUUUUUCUUGAGAGUCCAUAUCGAAAGAAAAGUUUGCGACCUCGAUGUUGAAUUAAAAUUUCUAUAUAAUUGCAGAAGUUAUAUUAGAGGGUCUGUUCGACCUUUAAAUUUUUACAUGAUUUGAGUUCAGACCGGCGUAAGCCAGGUUGGUUUCUAUCUUUUAAUUUUGAAGUAGUUAUUUUAGUACGAAAGGAUUUAAUAA
rnacentral:rRNA from 1 species